UUUGGGGGUUUUUUCCUUCUUUUUUUGUAUCUAAUUCAUAUUGGGAGGUAUUGGUUUGGAAAUAAGCUGUUAAAUUUCUCACCUGUCUUAUUAGGCAGAAAAAUAAAAUGGAAUCAUUUUGAAUUAAAGCUUCAAAAAAACCCUCCAGGUAAGCAGUGUUCCAGUGUCGAUUAAUAUACAGUAAACUAUGAUUUUUCUAUAAGGGUACCAAAGCAUUACUGAUAAAUUGGUGUUUCUGGCUAACAGGAGAUUAACCAGAAAUAUUCUCUGUCUUUUCCUUAUUGAAUAUAUUUUUAAAAUGUGCUGGUCCCCUUUCCUACCCUAGAAAGAACAUUGAGAAUGUAAUUGAAUCUUGCUUUGAAGUUUGAGGAUCUUAUGGUGCCACAGGGUCACUGUUCUGAGGAUGAAUUCUGAUUGUACGUUAUAGAACUAUAAAUGGAGACGGUGUCAGAGAUUGGACUAAAUCUGUCCUGAUCCCAGCUUGGAAAUUGUUUUCUUCUUUUGUUAAAUCCUCCAUAUUAGUAUGUUUUGUUAUUCGCCUCCCUUGUUCUCUAAGUUGCAAGCAACAAAAUAGAAAUUCACUUCAAUUUGUUGGUUCUGGUUAAUUGAGGUUUACUUUUCGGGAAAAUUUCAACCGGAAUCUAAAGCCUUAAUUCUUUCUCUAGAGUUAUAGAGAAUGUAAAAUUAAUCUCAAAGAUUCAUGAAGGCUGUUGUAUUUACAAGUAAGUUAUGGACUGUAGUACCGUAGCAUUUUGUAACUUCUCCCCUGUGUAAUGGUAGAUAGAAAUGCCAGCUAGUUUUGUCUUCUUUAGAUAUGUUGAAGGGGUAUCUUUGGUAAAGGACUUGUAAAUCUUGACAGUUAGGAACCUCAAGGAUUAGAAGGAAGACUUUCAAGAAUAUCAAUAAAGAACAUUUAGAUUCCCCAAAGGAAACCUUCUCUCCAAGCUUAGCCCUUGGUUCCCCAAACCAGUAUGGAAAGCAUUCUGGAACCACACCGUCAGAAGCUGACUUUCUCAGGGCUGUCCCACUUGACUUAAUGAUCGUCUGUGGUCAUCUUGUGAUAUCUUUGAUGUCGUAGUGUUGGAAAUUCAGCUUGGGAGUCUUGGUGUUCUUUUGUGUCAGCCCAAUUAUUAUUAUUUUUUUUUUGCUUUUGGAGUAAAGACAUCACGGAGAUUGUUUAAAGAAAUCCUUACACGAGGGGAAUGGGGCGUGAUGAGAAAUAAAUAUACCACAGCUCAUGGUUUAGGCAGGCUCGCUUUUUGCUCUGGCUUUUACAUGCUAAUGUUAAAAGGAAUUACAGGUAACAAUUCCCUUGUGUUGGUGGAAGAACAAUUUUUUUUUCUAACUGAUGUUUAUGGCCUCACCUGACACAUCAUUAUUACAAACUGUCGUAUCACAUUACUUGCGGUGGCACACUGACAGUGGCGUGGCACUGUGGUUUCCCAGUGGAUGUCUCGUCCACAGAUCUGAGGCCCUGGGGGCCGGCUGGGGAGCCCUCUGCAGUGCCCACCGACAGCUGAGAGUACGGGUUCCCCACAGUCUUGAAGGUGCUGGAGGACUGUCCCAGGUGACUUUACAAUCUCCAGACACAGACAUUUCUCUCAGAAGUGGAGUGAAGGAAGGAGACCCACAAGCUAAAGUGUGUUUCGCUGGGUGAAGUAUUUUGAGGGGAAAGAUAAGACUGGUGAAAUUGGGGAAUGGAGUCGUGCCUACAGAGAUUAAGAAUGCCUGUUUGGGGCUGGGGAGUGGGGGCUGUGAAUGAAGGAAGGGAAUCUCUAGAGGGAAAGAGACUUCUAUGCAAAGGAAAAUGAAAUUAGCAUUGACUCUGAAGUGGCUGGGAAUGUGACUUUCUAAUUUUAAAUUAUCUUUAACAAGGGCAAUGAAAAGAGGAAAAGUUGACACUUUGAGAAGUUGUGCCGAACUUGUCGAGAAUGCCAAUUGACAAAGCAGGUAAGGGAAUAUUUGGAAACACAGAACGAGAACAGGUGUCAGGGGCACGAUGGUCUGCUUCCUAGG